rnacentral:misc_RNA from 1 species
UGAGAGAGAAAUAAAAACAAAGUGAAAAAGAACAAAAGGAAAAGAAGAAAUGGAGUAGCUAAACUCUGACAUAGCCAGUCACCACCCCAUUCAUCACCAGCCACGCCACCAUCUUCUUGGCCGCGCCUCCUCCUCACUGGUCCUUCUCUUAUUCUACGCACACAGUAUCUGUACAAGAUAGAUCUCUUCUGAUUCUUUUAUCCCUAAAUUGCUACGUCUCCUAUUAUUCUUGCCUAAGCUUUUGUUUUUGCUUAGGUUUGCAAUUAAAGUGGGUGUGCAAAUGAAGGAGUUCGUCUCUGCAGUUUAAUUUUGAUGCAGUAGGUGGUCUUAUCAAGGCAACGACCUGGGGCUUUUGUUCUUGUUUCUUUUGCGUUGGUGAGUAAACUUAAACAAACCCAUUACAUUUCUUCUUGGUCUCUGUACUUUUUAAACUGAAUCCAUUGAUCUAAAAUCUAUCUCCAGUCGUCCCUCAGAUAAAGACCUUUUCCUGUCGUGGGCUUCAUCCUCUCCCGACAACCGUACACAUUUCUCUCUCCCACGUAAAAGCAGGUGAUCUUUAUCUAUUUCUUCUUGUUUCUCUCUAAAUAUAUACAUGUUCCUAUUAUAAAGAGAGAGAGGGAUGAAAAUCUUGCAAGAUUUCUUCGGGUUUUGGGGGAUAUGGAAUUGCUGAUUUCGCAUUUGGUGUCACAUGCUCAAUAUUAAUUGUUGAGAUAGAAGGAGACCUUGGUUUCUUUUGGUGGUGGGUGCUCAUGCACAAAGUAAUAAUAGCCCGGGUUUUCAACUGUGUAGUAUUAGAUUCUUAAGAACCAGAGAAAGUAGACACGAUGAUUUCACUCUCUUCUCUAUAUUUGAAAUGCCUCUCUCUAGUCUCCUGUCUUCCCUCAAAACCUGCAUGCACCAUCACAGGCCAAAAGCCAAUCCAUUUCUUAACAG